rnacentral:snoRNA from 1 species
CACAGCACUGACAAAUUGACAAGCUUGAUCUUCGCUUGUACGGUUUUUCCUAGUGAAUGCUGUGAGAGUAAUAAAGCGUCGGCUAAGCUAUGUUAUGCGAAUUCAUUAAAAUCCUAGUUCAGCGUAACACGCAGCCUCGUUACA